CUGCUCUUCUCUUCCCUCUUGAAUUCAUAAGAUUUGGGAAUGUUUCUGAUUCGGAUUUGAUUGAUAUGCUAUCGAUGCAUUUAUAUGUAUUUGCUAUAUGAUUUGGCAGUAGUGGUAUCAUGGGAGUUGUAUGAUUUUAAGGACCACUUCUAAUCUCCUUGGCAUGUUUCUUGCUUUUACUUUUUCCCCUUUCUUUCUAAUUCUCUUGGUUUCAUAUUUCAGGUUGUACAUCUUGGAAAACAGGAUUAACUCGGGAUAAGGCUAAAAUGCUGGGACUUUAUAUGAGGGCAAUAGAGUUGCUGAAAGCUCGAGCAUUUGAGGUGGAAGGUUGAAAGCUAUGCCUCUACUACUGAACAAUGCUUGGAGAAUCCAUUGGAAACUCCAGAAGCUGUACCUCUUUGUUUAACGUCAAAAUUGAAAACUAUCGCCAUAAUCAGAUUCAAAGGACACCGAGAAGAGAUGGAAGUCCUAAAGUACUUCUUAAAGAAUAGUCUAGCUUUGAAGACGAUGACCAUCUCUACGGUAAGGAAUUGUGGAGAUGCAAAGCAGGUGCAGAAGAAUUUACAUAUGUUUCCAAGAGGUUCG